UACGGAGGAUGCAAGCGUUAUCCGGAUUUAUUGGGUUUAAAGGGUGCGCAGGCGGCUUGCUAAGCGUUAGGUGAAAUGUCCGAGCUCAACCUGGGAACUGCCUCGCGAACUGGCUGGCUUGAAUGCCCCUGCCGUGGGAGGAAUGUGUGGUGUAGCGGUGAAAUGCAUAGAGAUCACACAGAACACCGAUUGCGAAGGCAUCUCACGAAGGGGUGAUUGACGCUAAGGCACGAAAGCGUGGGGAUCAAAC
rnacentral:rRNA from 1 species